UAGCCCUCAGCAUCUAAUUUAAAUCAUAGUGGCAUGUGCCUGGCAAGAACGUUCCAGAAACUUUGCUUGACCUCCUGACUCCAGCCUUCUGCAGAGCCCGCCCCACCCCACCCCCUGCUUUGGAAAGGGGUCUGUUCUCACCUCUGGGCUGCGUGACUCAGCUCAGGUGCAGGCCUGCCAGUCUGGAGAUCCUUGCGCCCUGCUCCCCGCUUGACCUGUGACUCACUCAGGAUCAGCUCUGUCUGGAAGAUAAAGAGCCCAACUGUAGUUCUUCUCGAACCUUCCAAAAGCGGCGCAGAUGUAGUCCCCUUUGCACAGACCAGAUGUCCACGUGUCAAAUGCUUCCUAAAAGGCUUAUGACAAUGUGCACUGAAGAAGUCCAUCGGAUGGAUUAGCUCAAGGCGGCACCAGCCUUGAGCCACACGGAUUGUUUCCUGCGGGACAGAAGCAAGAAGCCCUCUGGUUGCUGGGAAACGGAGGCCGCAAAGCAGAGCGCGGCCGGCAGAACCCAGUGCAGCACUUUCACUCCCAAGGUCUGUCACUCGGAGAAGGCGAUUGGUGAGAAUGAGCCACUGUCGCACAGAACCGCCAGCAGGAGGCGUCCCAGAUAUUCACGCAAAGAAAUAGGAAUCAGGGAAAUAAACGUGCAAAUGAGAAGUGAAGGACAGUCACCAAAGCCAGAACAGGGGCCGACUGGCCGUCUGCUCCACCGCCACCUUCAUGGGACAGGGUGUGCUUCCCCACUUGCUGCAUUUGCGCAUUCAGUUAACACUUUUUUGAAUGCCUACCCCGUGCCAGACCCUGCUCUGGGCCCGCAGUCCUUGUCCUUGAGAGACUUCAGUCAAUGGGGGAGAGAGACAAGUAAUUCUAGCAUGCAGUAGGUCUAAGCAAUGCUUGCAAAGCGCUUCAGGAUCAGAGCAGAGGGCAGCCAGCUCUGCCGGUGGGACUCACGGAGGACCUCACGGAGGAAGUUAACGGAUGAACCAAAAAUAGCUUCUGU
rnacentral:lncRNA from 1 species